UUGAACGCUGGCGGCAUGCUUUACCCCUGCCAGUCGCACGGCAGCGCGGGCUUCGGCCUGGCGGCGAGUGGCGAACGGGUGAGUAAUACAUCGGAACGUGCCCAGUAGUGGGGGAUAGCUCGGCGAAAGCCGGAUUAAUACCGCAUACGACCUGAGGGUGAAAGCGGGGGAUCUUCGGACCUCGCGCUAUUGGAGCGGCCGAUGGCAGAUUAGCUAGUUGGUGGGGUAAAGGCCUACCAAGGCGACGAUCUGUAGCUGGUCUGAGAGGACGACCAGCCACACUGGGACUGAGACACGGCCCAGACUCCUACGGGAGGCAGCAGUGGGGAAUUUUGGACAAUGGGCGAAAGCCUGAUCCAGCAAUGCCGCGUGUGUGAUGAAGGCCUUCGGGUUGUAAAGCACUUUUGGCGGGAACGAAAAGGACUGUGCCAAUACCACGGUUCGAUGACGGUACCCGCAGAAUAAGCACCGGCUAACUACGUG
rnacentral:rRNA from 1 species